AUGAAGCUGGAAUCGCUAGUAAUCGCGAAUCAGCAUGUCGCCGGGUGAAUACGUUCCCGGGUCUUGUACACACCGCCCGUCACACCAUGGGAGUUGGUAACGCCCGAAGUCAGUGACCUAACUGCAAGGGGAGGAGCUGCCGAAGGUGGGGCCAGUAACUGGGGUGAAGUCGUAACAAGGUAUC
rnacentral:rRNA from 1 species